UACAGAGGUGCCAAGCGUUAGGCGGAAUCACUGGGCUUAAAGCGCGUGUAGGCGGGUCGUUAAGUGUCCGAGUGAAAUCCCACGGCUCAACCGUGGAACUGCCGGGCAUACUGGCGAUCUUGAGGCAUUCAGGGGCGAGCGGAACAAAUGGUGGAGCGGUGAAAUGCGUAGAUAUCAUUUGGAACGCCAAUGGUGAAAACAGCUCGCUGGGAAUGAUCUGACGCUGAGACGCGAAAGCCAGGGGAGCGAACGGGAUUAGA
rnacentral:rRNA from 1 species